rnacentral:rRNA from 1 species
CCUACGGGUGGCAGCAGUGGGGAAUAUUGCACAAUGGGGGAAACCCUGAUGCAGCGACGCCGCGUGAGCGAAGAAGUAUUUCGGUAUGUAAAGCUCUAUCAGCAGGGAAGAAGAAUGACGGUACCUGACUAAGAAGCUCCGGCUAAAUACGUGCCAGCAGCCGCGGUAAUACGUAUGGAGCAAGCGUUAUCCGGAUUUACUGGGUGUAAAGGGAGCGUAGGCGGUGCUAUAAGUCUGAUGUGAAAGCCCGGGGCUCAACCGCGGGACUGCAUUGGAAACUGUAGGACUGGAGUGUCGGAGGGGUAAGUGGAAUUCCUAGUGUAGCGGUGAAAUGCGUAGAUAUUAGGAGGAACACCGGUGGCGAAGGCGGCUUACUGGACGACAACUGACGCUGAGGCUCGAAAGCGUGGGGAGCAAACAGGAUUAGAUACCCUGGUAGUC